rnacentral:rRNA from 1 species
UACGAAGGGGGCUAGCGUUGCUCGGAAUCAUUGGGCGUAAAGCGCGCGUAGGCGGCUAGAUCAGUCUGCUGUAAAAGUCAAAGGCUCAACCUUUGAAAGCCGGUGGAUACUGUCUAGCUAGAGUCCGGAAGGGGCGAGGUGGAAUUCCUGGUGUAGCGGUGGAAUGCGCAGAUAUCAGGAGGAACACCAACGGCGAAGGCAGCUCGCUGGGACGGUACUGACGCUAAGGCGCGAAAGCGUGGGAGCGAACGAGG